GCGGGCGUAGCCCAGUCGGUAGGGCGGUAGCCUUCUACGCUGGAUGUUGCUGUACGAAACUCCUUUUGCAAAAGUUCCGUCCGGCGGUAGCCUUCCACGCUGCAUGUCGCCGGUUCGAGCCCGGUCGCCCGCUCCA
rnacentral:tRNA from 1 species